CCAGGCCCGUUUUAAGCGCAGUGGUUGCAACCAGCCCUAGCUGGUUCUCAGGAUAAGCUGACUCCAAGUUCCUGUAAAACAGCGGGGCUGCCAGAAGCUGGAAAGCUGAUGAUAUCCCAGGAUUCGGUUCUCAACAUGUGGUGCCUAUACCAGCAGCAUCAACAUCACCUGGGAACAACUUGGAAAUGCAAACUCUCCACUCCCACCCCACUUGGGUGGAGGUUCAGAAAUCUGCAUUCAGCAAGGCUGAAAUAUAGAGGGGAUUGCAGUACUGCCUCAUGACAUUCUUCCUGGAAGUAGGGUCCUUCAGUUUCAAUCUGUUAAAGUAAUGGAAGAUUGAAUACCUUUUAUGAAUACUUGUGAAAAUUCAACAUGUAGAAAAAAAUUCAUUUAUAGUCCUCUAAAAACUCACGAAUGGAGUUGUUUCACCUUGCGAAUAACGUCAGGCCCAACUCUUUUCAGAGUAAGAAGUAAUAUUUACCAUUUAGCUCGAAGGAGAAGGAAUCUCAUUUGUGUUUAUG